GUGACCUGCGNNAGGAUCAUUAUCNAAAUAGCAUGACGAGUUGUCGCUGGCCUUUUGGCCGUGCACGCUCCGUCCUCCUUCAUUUCUCCAUCUAUUUGUGCACCAUUCGCGUGGAUCUCGAGAGAUAUGUCUCCCUCGGUUUAUUAGGACUGCUUUGCAAACAUUUGUGGGCUUUCUUUGUCUCGCUUUAUCUUAACAUACACCAGUGUAAACAUUCAGAAGGAUAUGAAAUCAUAAUACAACUUUCAGCAACGGAUCUCUUGGCUCUCGCAUCGAUGAAGAACGCAGCGAAAUGCGAUAAGUAAUGUGAAUUGCAGAAUUCAGUGAAUCAUCGAAUCUUUGAACGCAUCUUGCGCUCCUUGGUAUUCCAAGGAGCAUGCCUGUUUGAGUGUCAUUAAUAUCUCAACCACACCCAAGGGGCGUGGCUUGGAUUUGGGGGUUACAGGCUCUGAAUUGUAGUCUGCUCCCCUGAAAUGUAUGAGUGGUAAUGGACCUCUCUGUUAGAUGUGAUACAUAUCUGCAUCUGAUCGAGCGGUUUGCCGCUAUAAGAGUCGUUGGAUUGAUAAACUUGACCUCAAAUCAGGUAGGACCACCCACUGAACUUAAGCAUAUCAAUAAGCGGAGGAAAAGAAACUAACCAGGAUUCCCUUAGUAACUGCGAGUGAAGUGGGAAGAGCUCAAAUUUGUAAUCUGGUGGCCUCUGGCCGUCCGAGUUGUAAUCUAAAGAAGUGCUACCUGCGCUGGACCGUGUACAAGUCUUCUGGAAUGGAGCAUCACAGAGGGUGAGAAUCCCGUCUUUGACAUGGACUGCCAGUGCUUAAUAGGUGCGCUCUCGAAGAGUCGAGUUGUUUGGGAAUGCAGCUCAAAAUGGGUGGUAAAUGCCAUCUAAAGCUAAAUAUUGGCGAGAGACCGAUAGCGAANAAGUACCGUGAGGGAAAGANGAAAAGAACUUUGGAAAGAGANUUAAACAGUACGUGAAAUUGCUGAAAGGGAAACGCUUCAAGUCA
rnacentral:rRNA from 1 species